AAAUUGAAGGGUUUGAUCCUGGCUCAGAAUGAACGUUGGCGGCGUGGAUUAGGCAUGCAAGUCGAGCGGAAAGGCCCCUUCGGGGGUACUCGAGCGGCGAAAGGGAGAGUAACGCGUGGAUACCUACCCCUGGAUCCGGAAUAGCUGCGGGAAACUGCAGGUAAUGCCGGAUAAUGUCCCCGGACCAAAGGUGUGAUUCCGUCCAGGGAGGGGUCCGCGUCCUAUUAGCUUGUUGGUGAGGUAACGGCCCACCAAGCCGACGAUGGGUACCGGGAGUGAGAGCAUGGCCCGGCUCACUGGGACUGAGACACUGCCCAGACACCUACGGGUGGCUGCAGUCGAGAAUCUUCGGCAAUGGACGCAAGUCUGACCGAGCGACGCCGCGUGCGGGAUGAAGGCUUUCGGGUUGUAAACCGCUGUCAGAGGGGAGGAAAUCGGUGGGGGUUCUCCCCCAUUGUUGACCUAUCCUCAGAGGAAGGACGGGCUAAGUUCGUGCCAGCAGCCGCGGUAACACGAACCGUCCGAACGUUAUUCGGAAUCAUUGGGCUUAAAGGGUGCGUAGGCGGUGCCGCAAGUUGGGUGUGAAAUCCCUUGGCUCAACCGAGGAAUGGCGCCCAAAACUGCUGUACUCGAGGGAGACAGAGGUAAGCGGAACUGAUGGUGGAGCGGUGAAAUGCGUUGAUAUCAUCAGGAACACCAGUGGCGAAAGCGGCUUACUGGGUCUCUUCUGACGCUGAGGCACGAAAGCUAGGGGAGCGAACGGGAUUAGAUACCCCGGUAGUCCUAGCUGUAAACGAUGAGCACUUGGUCGGAGACUCCUCCAUAGGUUUCUGGCCGUAGCGAAAGUGUUAAGUGCUCCGCCUGGGGAGUAUGGUCGCAAGGCUGAAACUCAAAG
rnacentral:ncRNA from 1 species